UCAGCCAUGGAAGUCAAAAUUCAACUUUCCAUUUGUCACCACCAUUUUCAAUCUCGUACUGACUCAUCAAUUCAUGGACACUAAUCUGAAUUCUAAUGCCUUAGUCACCAUAUUCUUGAUUUUUCUCUUGACAUUUGUCAUCCAAAUAAGCUUCAAUUAGCUCAUCAAUUAUGUCAUUCAACCCCAUUAAUCCCUAUAAAUAGCCUCCUAAUUGAGCAGAAAUUCAAGCUCAAACCAUCAACAAACAAUAAACAUUUCAAUUUCAGUUUCAAUUUUGAUAUUGACUUUUGAUUUUAAUUUCUAUUUACCUCUUAAAUUAAAUUCAAAAAUCCCCACCGCCACCACCGAAUGUCGUCGCCACCACCACUACUGCAACCACCAGACCCAACCACAACCACGGACUCCCUUCCUCCGCGCCCAAGCCCCCCUGCCUCCCUCCUCACUCGACCCUCCCUGCCUUCGCGCCCAGCCUGCACCACCGUGCUGCUGUGCUGGCGACACUCCACCCCUUUCCUCCCUCCUGCCGCCGCGCCACCCAGGCACGCCGCCCUUACCCUGCCGCCGGCCACCACUCAGCUCCUUAUUUUUCUUCUCCCUCUGUCGUGAGAUCGCUUUGCUUCCCUCCUCUUCUUUGCUCGACACCUAGAAUCCCAAUAUUUGGGUUCCUGACUUUUGUCUUUUCUAUUAAACCCAAAACAAAAGGGUUGGGCCCAAUUUUAAUAUAUGGAAUUCGGACUCGGAGCUCAGGAAGAACGAACCAACGAAAAUGCUUAGCAAAUCGUGGAAUUGAGGUACUGCUGGGGACCGCGGAAACGAGUAGUGGCGAGGAUUUCACUAUUACAAAGUUCACCUAAGUUAAUGUUAAGUUGUAACAAGUUUAAGUACAGAUUCUUGAUUAAGUUACGUACUUUUAUUAAGGAAAUAAAAAGGAUUAUUAUGUUAAUUUUGGAGUUUAAUAGCUUAUGAUUGAUAGUUUCCUUGUAAUUCCCAAGAGGGAGUUAUGGCAGGUAAUGUCCCGACCGAAUUAGGUUAAUUCCGCUGCUAAGUAUUCCUUAUUAAGUGAAUUAGAGGUCGGGGUGUUACACCAAGUCUAACAAAUGUUAUAAAAUCUAUGGCAUGGGUAUUAUGUAAAUUGGACUUUUGCA